CCUACGGGAGGCAGCAGUGAGGAAUAUUGGUCAAUGGACGAGAGUCUGAACCAGCCAAGUAGCGUGAAGGAUGACUGCCCUAUGGGUUGUAAACUUCUUUUAUAUGGGAAUAAAACAUGGUAUGCAUACCUUCUUGUAUUUACCUUAUGCAUAAGGAACGGCUAACUCCGUGCCAGCAGCCGCGGUAAUACGGAGGAUCCGAGCGUUAUCCGGAUUGAUUGGGUUUAAAGGGAGCGCAGGUGGAUUGUUAAGUCAGAUGUGAAAGUUUGCGGCUCAAACGGAAAAUUGGAGGUGAAACUGGCAGGCUUGAGGAUAGUAGAGGUGGGCAGAAUUCGAGGGGUAGCGGUGAAAUGCUGAGAGAUCAGGAAGAAUUCCGAUGGCGAAGGCAGCUCCCUGGACGAAGACGGACAUUGAGGUUCGAAAGGGUGGGUAGCAAACAGGAGUAGAUACCCUUGGAGUC
rnacentral:rRNA from 1 species